GACGUAGGGGGCAAGCGUUGUUCGGAAUUAUUGGGCGUAAAGCGCUCGUAGGCGGGACAGGAAGUUCGUGUUGAAAGACCUCGGCUCAACUGAGGGACCGGCUCGAAUACUCUUGUUCUUGAGGCAAUCAGAGGGUGAUGGAAUUCCCGGUGUAGCGGUGAAAUUCGUAGAUAUUCGCAAGAACACCAGUGGCGAAGGCGGCUCACUGGCCCGAUACUGACGCUGAGGCACGAAAGCGUGGGGAGCAAACAGG
rnacentral:rRNA from 1 species